UACGUAGGGUGCAAGCGUUUGUCCGGAAUUAUUGGGCGUAAAGAGCUCGUAGGCGGUCUGUCACGUCGGCUGUGAAAUCCCGAGGCUCAACCUCGGGUCUGCAGUCGAUACGGGCAAACUAGAGUAUUGCAGGGGAGACUGGAAUUCCUGGUGUAGCGGUGAAAUGCGCAGAUAUCAGGAGGAACACCGGUGGCGAAGGCGGGUCUCUGGGCAAUAACUGACGCUGAGGAGCGAAAGCGUGGGGGAGCGAACAGG
rnacentral:rRNA from 1 species